AUGAACAGAGCAGUUUGUUAAACUUAGGUGACUGCUGUGAAAGGAAUGGCCAUCCUUCAAAGGUGUCUCUUUCAUGUCAUUCCUCAUGUCUGCCAUUCACAGUAUAAAAGACGGGAAGAACUCACAGCUUGAGGCGAAGUUGCUCAUCUGAGAUGCAAGAAGACUCGGCACUGAGACAAGUUCACAACUGAGACAACUGAGCUGAGAGAAAUUAAAAUACAGGAGUGUUGCAUUACAGAGAUCAAAAAUGCUUCUGACCAUUCUGAUACAGAUCCUGACCAUCGCAGCAUCAGCAAAUGCCCAGACAAAUUCCACUGUAAAUUCAACCGCUCCCACCUUUGCCACUGCCACGACUGCAACAAACAUGACGAGCACAAUCAGCACCGCUACUGCGAACAACACUGCAACAACAGCAAACAGCACUUCAAGCAAC